rnacentral:rRNA from 2 species
CUGCCGGAGGUCAUUGCUAUUGGAGUCCGAUUUAGCCAUGCUAGUUGCACGAGUUUAGACUCGUAGCAGAUAGCUCAGUAACACGUGGGCCAAACUACCCUAUGGAUCCGAAUAACCUCGGGAAACUGAGGCUAAUAUGGAAUAGCGUUCAUCGCCUGGAGUGGCACGAACGCGAAACGUUACGGCGCCAUAGGAUGUGGCUGCGGCCGAUUAGGUAGACGGUGGGGUAACGGCCCACCGUGCCCAUAAUCGGUACGGGUUGUGAGAGCAAGAGCCCGGAGACGGUAUCUGAGACAAGAUACCGGGCCCUACGGGGCGCAGCAGGCGCGAAACCUUUACACUGCACGCGAGUGCGAUAAGGGGACUCCGAGUGCGAGGGCAUAUAGUCCUCGCUUUUCACGACCGUAAGGUGGUCGUAGAAUAAGUGCUGGGCAAGACAAAAAGCAAAGCCGCCGCGGUAAUACCGGCAGCACGAGUGAUGACCGCUAUUAUUGGGCCUAAAGCGUCCGUAGCUGGCCACGCAAGUCUAUCGGGAAAUCCGCGCGCUUAACGCGCGGGCGUCCGGUGGAAACUGCGUGGCUUGGGACCGGAAGACCAGAGGGGUACGUCCGGGGUAGGAGUGAAAUCCCGUAAUCCUGGACGGACCACCGGUGGCGAAAGCGCCUCUGGAAGACGGAUCCGACGGUGAGGGACGAAAGCUCGGGUCACGAACCGGAUUAGAUACCCGGGUAGUCCGAGCUGUAAACGAUGUCUGCUAGGUGUGCACAGGCUACGAGCCUGUGCUGUGCCGU